UUUGCUCAAUCUCGAGUGGCCUAACAUACUUGCGUAGUGAUCUUGUUAAGUCCAAGACACACUUGCACCAAAGUACAACAAAAUAAAAGAGAAGUCAGGUCAUAAACUAUAGACAUUGUCAAACAUUACCUAAAGUUUGGCUCCACUACCCCACUUCUUCAUGCCCUUAGCACAGCCUCGACCAUGCUUUUUCAUAGAUGUCUCAGGAGAUGAAAAUUCAAUUAAUAGUAUGAUAGAAACCUAUGAGCAAACAAAUACCAAAUACACACCCCAACAACUCUGUAUUCUGUAAUUCCAGUUAGAGCAUAUGGCAAAACAGAAGCAACAACCAGGAAAAGGCAUUUACACAGACUAACAUAGUAGCAACAGAUUCCAUCUCAUAUAGAGUAUGUGUUUCUUUUUAAAAAAAUAAAAGAGUUACAUGUCCUGAUCAUCUGAUGACGGUUGAGCUGGCUGUCUUGAUUGAGAAUAUAAUUUGAUACUCUAUAGAGGCUGCAUUUAGACAGAUGGAUUGGUGCCUUCAUACCAUGUUAGGAAUGGUAUAUGAAUUUCUAAUUUUCUACAACUAAAAUGCUAAAAGUUUAUUAUGUACAAGAUACCAACAAAUACAAGAAGUAAUCCAAAAUAGACAUGAACUUGAUCAUUUCCAUUUCAUGCUCCCAAUUCAAUUCUUUUCGCUCAAGGACACGUUUGUUCCUAAUUUUCCACAAGGACCAACAAAUAAAAGGACUGACUUCGCAUGGCAAAAAGAAAAAAAUAGAUCUCAUGUUUCCCUUUCACAGUCACAAAAUAGGCAAACUACAACCAAAUCAAAAACCCCCACAUGUGCAGGUUAGCAUCUUGCUAAUCUUAUUUCUUUUGUAUAUGUAUUCAUAUACAUAGCUGUUCACUUUGCCUAUUAAAAAAACAGAACUUAAGAAGAUACCAAAUCAAUUCUUAUCAUUAAUCAUACGGAAAGAAAUAGAUAGACCCUUUAAUGAGUACAAAUCUUUAAUGUAAAUAUACCUGAAACCCUAACCAUCGUUUACGGAGACUACUCGCCAACGCAUCUGCCGUCAACAGGAAACUCUGACUAAUGUACCCUCCACACCAUAUCUCUCUUGUGGAAAACCUUACUUCGGCGUUCGAACAGCCAGGAUUCUCGAAAUAUCAAACCGAAAUCGGUCCAUCUGUCCAUGUAUUGAGAAAGGGAGGGAGAGGGAGAGGGAGAGAGAGAGAAUACGAGCCAAUGGCGGGUGGCGAAGCACUUGUUCGAUUGGCAAAUCCACGGCCAGAUCUGAAGCCAUACGGUGCGUCCAUCUCGUAGCUUUCCAAAUCGAACGAGAAGCAGAAGGCGAGCCACGAGAAGAGGAGAACGAAGGUCGCCUCGAGGAACACGGCUUGAGACUGAGUGAAUCUCCUCAUUGUAUCGAAGGAGACUCGCAACACCUACCCACCCACCCACCCCCUCCCC